rnacentral:rRNA from 1 species
UACGUAGGGGGCAAGCGUUGUCCGGAUUCAUUGGGCGUAAAGAGCGUGUAGGCGGCCAGGUAGGUCGGUUGUGAAAACUGGAGGCUCAACCUUCAGAGGUCGACCGAAACCAUCUGGCUAGAGUCCGGGAGAGGAGAGUGGAAUUCCUGGUGUAGCGGUGAAAUGCGCAGAUAUCAGGAAGAACACCCGUGGCGAAAGCGGCUCUCUGGAACGGUACUGACGCUGAGACGCGAAAGCGUGGGAGCGAACAGG